UACGGAGGGGACUAGCGUUGUUCGGAAUUACUGGGCGUAAAGGGCGCGUAGGCGGCCUUCUAAGUCGAACGUGAAAUCCCUGGGCUCAACCCAGGAACUGCGUCCGAUACUGGAAGGCUUGAAUCCGGGAGAGGGAUGCGGAAUUCCAGGUGUAGCGGUGAAAUGCGUAGAUAUCUGGAGGAACACCGGUGGCGAAGGCGGCAUCCUGGACCGGUAUUGACGCUGAGGCGCGAAAGCCAGGGGAGCAAACGGG
rnacentral:rRNA from 1 species